UCGAUAGAAUAAUGUAGGUAAGGGAAGUCGGCAAACUAGAUCCGUAACUUCGGGAAAAGGAUUGGCUCCAGUGGUUGGAACGGUUGGCCAGGUGGUUGAUGCUUGUCCGGCGCAGUUCUGUCUGCUUGAUGCUUUCGGGUUGAUGGCGGACUAGUGAUUGUGCUUGCUUGCGGACGCUUUCUGGUGUGUGCUUGGACCUCGGUUCUAGUAUCCUGAUCGCUCAUCUAAACAACCGUACUGGAACCGGUACGGACUCAGGGAAUCCGACUGUCUAAUUAAAACAGAGGUGACAGAUGGUCCUUGCGGACGUUGACUGUCACUGAUUUCUGCCCAGUGCUCUGAAUGUUAAAUCGUAGUAAUUCGAGUAAGCGCGGGUAAACGGCGGGAGUAACUAUGACUCUCUUAAGGUAGCCAAAUGCCUCGUCAUCUAAUUAGUGACGCGC
rnacentral:rRNA from 1 species